rnacentral:rRNA from 1 species
AUGCAGGCUGCUUGCCGCCGGCCGAAGUUCGCGGAGCUCAGCGCGACAAAUCUCAAGAUCCUCUGCGAUGCGCUCGAGCUUCGCGUUCCGCGGCACAGGAAUAUCGUCCCUGGCAUAUCGAGCACGCUGCUCGGGUGCCGAUCUGGUGUGACCAGGAGGAGGGCGGGCGCUAAUCCGUUUGGCUCCUCGUCGUCAACUUGGCUGCUCUUCCUAGGAAGGGACGAUGGCGGAAAGAUGACGGUGGCUCGGGACCUCGCGAGGCUCGUGUUUGGCUCAUACAUCGAGUUCACGACCCUGCAGGUGCAGGGUAGCCCCGACAUUUCCGCGCGCACCGGCAAGCACGCUCUCAAGAGGCCGAGAUCACCGGAAAACGACGGCGAUAUCGAGGGGAGGCUAUUCGAAGCGAUCAUGGAGAACCCUCACCGCGUUAUAUUGAUUGACGGCAUCGACCGACUGAAUCGUGAAUCGGAGAUGCGCAUCAAGAACACCAUCGUCGGUGCAGGAAUAGCGAGGGGACGCAACGGCGGCGUGGUCAGCCUGGAGGAUGCCAUCGUAGUGCUGAGUGCCUCUGAUUCCUUGGAAUGGAGGUACAUGGCUUCAUCUUCCUCUCCAUGGCCACGGGUGAAGCGGCGGUUUAAUGGACAGCACCGUGAGGAAGGUGACGCCGCGGGAAGAUCUCGUUGUCAUCAUGGCUGGGACUUGAACUUUCAUGCGGUGGAUGGAGAAGAGGAGGACAAUUUGGCUAAUGACCAGGGGAUCCUGAAUGUCGUCGAUGGUGUUUUCCUUUUCAAUUAG